UAGAAGUUAGCUGAGCGUACUGAGAGCCA
rnacentral:piRNA from 1 species